UACGUAUGGUGCGAGCGUUGUCCGGAUUUACUGGGCGUGAAGGGGGCGCAGGCGGCGCGCCAAGCCCGAUGUGAAAGCCCGGGGCUCAACCCCGGGACUGCAUUGGGAACUGGCGUGCUGGAGUGCCGGAGGGGCAGGCGGAAUUCCUGGUGUAGCGGUGAAAUGCGUAGAUAUCAGGAGGAACACCGGUGGCGAAGGCGGCCUGCUGGACGGAUACUGACGCCGAGGCCCGAAAGCGUGGGGAGCGAACAGG
rnacentral:rRNA from 1 species